AUACUAUCAUUGUGAACACAGAAGAUCAAAAAAAAGAAAAUUUACAAAUAUUAAAAUUCAAUGUAUUUUAAACACAGGACAAUCACAAAAAAAAGUACUGGGUGAAAACAAAACGUAGAAAUUACUUGUUGCCGACAAUGAUGGAUUUUUAUAAACUAUGGAAAGUUAUAAUGAAAUAUGUAAAGAACAGAGUAAUUGGCGGGCAACAAGAGUAAAACAAAUCAAUACCUGGCUUGAACAAACACCAAAAAAAAAAAAAAUCGAAUGUAAAGAUUGUUUAUAUUAUACACAUU